rnacentral:rRNA from 1 species
GACGAACGCUGGCGGCGUGCUUAACACAUGCAAGUGGAGCGACGAACCAGGGGCUUGCCCCUGGGGCAGAGCCGCGAACGGGUGAGUAACACGUGGGUGACCUGCCUCGAUGACCGGGACAACCCGAGGAAACUCGGGCUAAUACCGGAUGUGCUCCCAGCCAUAGCGGGCUGGGUGGAAAGGUAGCUUCGGCUUCCGCGUCGAGAUGGGCCCGCGGCGCAUUAGCUUGUUGGUGAGGUAACGGCUCACCAAGGCUUCGAUGCGUAGCUGGUCUGAGAGGACGAUCAGCCACACUGGGACUGAGACACGGCCCAGGCUCCUACGGGAGGCAGCAGUGGGGAAUCUUGCGCAAUGCGCGAAAGCGUGACGCAGCAACGCCGCGUGGGGGAAGAAGGCCCUUCGGGUUGUAAACCUCUUUCAGUUGGGACGAAGGUUCGGCGGUGAAUAGCCGUUCGGACUGACGGUACCUUCAGAAGAAGCCCCGGCUAACUACGUGCCAGCAGCCGCGGUAAUACGUAGGGGGCAAGCGUUGUCCGGAAUCAUUGGGCGUAAAGCGCGUGUAGGCGGCUCGGUAAGUCCGCUCUGAAAGUCCAGGGCUCAACCCUGGGAUGCGGGUGGAUACUGCCGGGCUCGAGUCCGGAAGAGGCGAGUGGAAUUCCCGGUGUAGCGGUGAAAUGCGCAGAUAUCGGGAGGAACACCAAUGGCGAAGGCAGCUCGCUGGGACGUGACUGACGCUGAGACGCGAAAGCGUGGGGAGCAAACAGGAUUAGAUACCCUGGUAGUCCACGCCGUAAACGAUGGACACUAGGUGUGGGAGGUGUCGACUCCUCCCGUGCCGAAGCUAACGCAUUAGUGUCCCGCCUGGGGAGUACGGCCGCAAGGCUAAAACUCAAAGGAAUUGACGG